GCAGGGACAGAAGAGUGCAAAUACAAACGAGAAAGCAAAGCACAAGAGCUUGCCAAGUGGGCGCACGCAUGUUAGAUAUACGUUACAGACAGACACGUGUCCUGCUCUCCGCUGUCUGGGGUCUGAGUAGUAUGAUUUUAGGCAAAACAUUCACCCCCCGCACCACCCUCCCAAUAUUCUCAGUUGCCAAGCCAGCGCAGAGCAGAGCAGAAGAAUGGCGGAGAAUUCAUCGCCGUUUCCGAAGCCAAUUCGACAAUCCAAUGCGGCCGGAUCCGUGUCUCAUAGCCUAACCAUCCCCUCACCGCCCCCAUCCGUGGACGCCCACCGAAUUCCCUUACCUCCAUCUCAGCAACCGCCGAUGACGCCGUCUACACUUCCGUGGCUUCAACAACAAAUGCUACAGCAACGGCCGAGCAAUUUGACGGCCGCAUGGAAUAUCCAGAUGCCACACAGGACGCCUUCCACGUCGAGGGUGCAUCAGGUGCAGCACGGCGCGGCGGCGGCGGCGUUGCGGCCGCAGAUGAACUUGGGCGGCGGCGGUCUCGCUCAGCAACCACAGCAACAGCAGAUGGCGAGAUCGGCAUUGAUAGGGCAGACUGGCCAACUGCCUAUAUUGUCCGGCCAAGCCGGGGCGGCGUCAGCUGCGUCCCAGUUCAAUUUGCAACCGCCGUUGUUAGCACUGCCUAGGCAGAAAAGCAGGUUAUUGCAAGGAUCCCAGUUCCCUGCUGUUAGUUCGGCCGGGCAAGCUCUAGAGGGAAUGAUGGGACCUCUCAACUUGAACUCUCAAAUUAGAGCAAAAAGGCCUCUUCCAUAUGCCCAACGGAUGAACCAGGGGCAUUUAAGGCAGCAGCUGUCACAACAACAUUCGCUUCCAUCAAAUCAGGGUCAAAAUGUACCGAGGGCCUCAUUUAUAAACCCUCAGUUAUCUGGGCAGUCAGUUUUGAACCCUUUCUCUCCGCAACAAUGGUCGAAGCAAGAACCAACGAUGUCUAAUCCUAAUUCUCCCUAUCAUCUUCAACACCAGAGGCUAGAACAACUACUUUUGCAGCAACAACUAGCUUCGUCCUCUCAGAUGCAGCAAAAUUCUACAUCAUUGAACCCACAGCAGUUUUCCCAGCCUGUACAGCAGCAGCAGCCGAUGGUGCAUCCACAACUCAGUCAGCAGCAACAGCAGCAGCAUCAAGUUCUGAAUCAGCAACAGCAGCGGUCUCCAACGAGGGCAGUGCCUGCUGGCCAAAAGUAUCUCAGUUUGACAGGAUCACAGCCAGAUGAUACUGGAUCUGGAACAACUACACCAGGGGGGAGUUCAAGCCUGGGAGCAGAAGCAAACAAUCGACUUCUUGGGAAGAGAAGAAUUCAGGAUUUGGUUUCCCAGGUGGAUCCAAAUGCAAAACUAGAUCCUGAAGUCGAAGAUCUUCUUUUGGAUCUUGCUGAUAACUUUGUCGAUUCGGUAACUACAUUCGCAUGCAACUUGGCAAAGCAUCGCAACUCUUCAACUCUAGAAGCCAAGGACUUGCUGCUUCAUCUAGAGAAAGAUUGGAAUUUGACUGUUCCUGGUUUCUCAAGUGAAGAAAAAAAAUAUCAACAGGAUCAGCAAUCAAGUGAUCUUCACAAGCAGCGUCUCGACUUGGUUUGGGGCAGUGGAGGCAAUCCAAUCCACUUGCACUUUCUCAACAGCUUUUGCAUAAUAUUUCAUCAUCUCCAUUUCCAACUAGCACAGGAAAAAGGGCUUCCAAUUUUGCUAGUUUGCUCUGUGAAAAGAAACCCUCAUUGAAGAGGGAUUUACUUCACUGUGGAUUUGCAAUGUUGGGAUGUUUUCCACUUGUGCGCUCUUUAAGUUUUUCUGCAGAGUCGAUAAGUUCAGCAUCUGGAGAGGCUGAAGACUGGAGAUAUUGAAACACAAAUCUGAUUGCAACAUGGUCUGGAGGAUUGGGGUACAGGACGGAUGAUUGGCACCAGGCGUGACUUUAAGAGACUUUACCAUCUUGCCUUGUCGUUAUAUAUGGCAUUUGCCUAUGCUACUUUGUCUUCGUUGACUUUUCUAGAAUGCGAGUCUUGUCAACUAGGCAAACAUGUUCAUUCUUCUUAUUCUAGUCGUCUUAAUAAAUGAGUUAAUGCUCCUUUUGAUCUUAUACAUUCUGACAUUUGGGGUCCUAGUAGAGUCAAGUCUAAACAGAGUUUCUCCUAUUUUGUUACAUUCAUUGAUGAUCAUUCUCGUUGUACUUGACUUUAUUUAACGAAAGAUUGUAUUGAAUUGCAAUCUUUAUUCACUUCCUUUUGUAAUGAAAUUUCUACUCAAUUUGGUCAUACCAUUCGGAUCCUUCGCAGUGAUAAUGCCAAGGAAUAUUGUUCUCAUGCAUUUCAAGCUUUGCUCUCAUCACGGGGUAUUGUUCAUUAGUUCUCUUGUCCUUAUACUCCACAACAAAAUGGGGUGGCUGAACAUGAAAAUCGUCAUCUCAUUGAGACUGCUUAGACGCUUCUCCUUCACAUACAUGUUCCUGUUGUUUUUUAGGAUACCACUUUUCUCACUUCUAGUUAUCCGAUCAACUGAAUGCCGUCCACUGUUUUGAAUGGAGCCAUUUCACAUACUUUACUUUUUCCUCGUGAUCCCAUCUAUCCUAUCCUCCCCCGUGUCUUUAGAUCAACUUGUUUUGUCCAUCUUCUUUCCCUUGGUCGUGAUAAAUUAUCUCCUCGCUCGAUCAAGUGUGUAUUUCUAGGCUACUCUCGUCAUCAAAAGGGAUACAAGUGCCACUCUCUUGAAUUUGGUAGAUACUUUCUCUAUUCUGAUGUCACAUUCUUUGAGUUUACACAUUUUUUCUCUUCCUUGUCUGAUGGGUCUUCUUCCUCCCUUCAUGAGGUUCUUCAUGUCCCUUCUUUUCCUCCUAUGGUCCCAGUACUUGUUCAUAUUCCUCUUGUUCUUCUUUAGACUUAUCAGUGUCGUCUUAAGCCUCCAUUAGUGCCUCCAGCUCCAGCUCCUCCUAUUGUCGGUGAUGGUAUUCGUUCAGACUCAUGUCUUCCUCCAGUUGGUGCCAUUAUUCCAUCUCCCUCCAACUCUGCCCAAGCUCCUAUUCACUGUGGCACACAUUACACUCGAAAUCCUUAUCCCAUUUAUACUUUUGUGAGCUAUCACCGUUUGUCACUUGUUUAUUCGGCUUUUGUAUUUGCUAUCUCUUUUGUUUCUAUUCCUAAGACAGAUGCUGAAGCUUUUUCUCACCUUAGGUGGAGACAUGCUAUAGAUGAGGAGAUGUCUGCCUUGCUGCCUAAUGUGGCGUGGGAUCUAGUUCCUCUCCCUCCGAGGAAGUCUGCUAUUGGUUGUCGGUGGGUGUUGGUUCAGAUGGCUUUCUUGAUCGUCUGAAGGCUUGGUUGGUUGCUAAGGGUUAUACUCAAAUUUUUGGCCUAGACUAUGGUGAUACAUUUUCUCCCAUAGCUAAGAUUUCUUCUAUUUGUGUUUUUCUUGCAAUGGCCACUAUUCAACAGUGGCCUCUUUAUCAAUUGGAUAUUAAAAAUGCUUUUCUUCAUGGCAACCUUCAAGAGGAAGUGUAUUGGAGCAACCUCUUGAGUUUGUUGCUCAGGGGGAGUCUCAAUUGGUAUGUCGCCUAAAGAAGUCCUUAUAAUGGCCUAAAACAAUCUCCUGUGUGCUAGUUUGGUUGCUUUAGUUUUGCCAUCCAAUCUUUUGGUAUGAGUAGAAGUGAAGCUAAUCAUUCUAUUUUCUAUCACCAUUCUCCUAGUGGGGUCAUGUUAUUGGUGAUGUAUGUAGAUGACAUUGUUAUUGCAGGAGAUGAUAAGGUUGGUAUUGAGCAGUUGAAGACUCAUUUGCAUUCUCAUUUUCAGACCAAGAAUUUGGGCAGGUUGAAGUAUUUUCUUGGCAUUGAGGUAGCUCAAUUUGCCCAUAAUGUGCGCCUCUCUCAAAGGAAGUAUGCCAUAGAUAUUUUGGAAAAGACCAGUAUGCUUGAUUCCUAGCCUAUAUAUACUCUUAUGGAUCCUAAUGCCUAAUGUUAAGCUUGUACCAAGACAGUGGGAAGCCAUUGGAGGAUCCUUGGCAAUAUAGGAGGCUGGUUGGGAAGCUUACUUACUUCACUAUUGCACGACCAAAUAUCUCUUUUGUUGUUAGUGUGGUUUAACUUUGCAUGCAGCUUGGCAAAGCUUCUCAAUUCUUCGACUCUUGAAGCUGCCGCUCCCAGACUUAUUAUACCCAUUGGAAAAUUGAGAGAAGUUGCAAUACGUGCAUCUCUGGUCACUUUUAUCUGCACUCUUCACGUGGCAUCUUUUCUGACUGGAUUUGCAGAGAACAUUUUACACCCAAACAAACGGAUUUUCAUGCAAGUCAACAAUGUAGAUGCGAAUGCAGAUUAGAUGAAAUGUAAGGGUAUUGGAGUCUACUGUUGGGAUAAUAUCCACUGCAUCCAUUGACGAGAUAAACUUAUUUCCUAUUUCUUCUCAAGGCGAAUUGCAGUCUCAAUUUAACUGAAGAAGAUCGAGAAAAUAUCAAAAGAAUCGGGUAAGCUUCCAAACUUGUUUACAAGAUGUUGUUGCGUGUAUGUAUGUAGCUAUGUUUGUGUGAAUAUAACUAGCAAAAUAUUGUUUACAUUAGUCCUUAUGGGUACUUCAUUUUUCAAAUUUUGGAUUUCAACAAGUUUCAGAUCAAUAUUAGAAAAUUUGAACAUGUUUUGCCCAUUAUAAAAUGUUAAAGUGGACUCCUAAACAGUAUGAAUACGUAUUGACCUUUGUUACUCAAAUUUCAUAAUUAGCCCAUGUUUGGUCUACUAUUAGGAUCUUGUUGGAGUGGAUAGGCUAGCAUUUGAAUACCAAAUACUGUAGCCACAGGCGACAUACAAUACAUAAAUUGUACCAUUAAUUGUUGCAUAUAAGAUUACUAUAUACUGUGAUUUAUAAUAUGAUAUAUUGGAUUCAAUCCAUUUUAUAGGUGUAGUUCAUACCUGAACAUAUAAGCUCCAGUCCAAACUGCAAAAUGGGUGGAGUUGACUGAAUUAAACAUUAGUUACUGUACUUGUACUCAUAUGCAGCGUAGCGGGGAUGACUUCCUGCAUACUAUGCCAAAACAGAAAGUUAAUCCCGCCGUGACCUUGUGCAUAAGUGAAAAAGGUGUAGCUACCCUUAGUUGCAAAAUACUACGAUAGUGUUCUCUUUGUGUUUUAGUUUUCAGUUUUGAAUUUUAUUUUCAGUUUUGUGUUUUGAAUGUCUAUUUUGAGAAAAUUAAAAACGUAUUCUUUUUGUUAUUCUGAAAAAUUAUUUUUUAAAUUUGAAAACUCGAAAACGCAUUCACUUUGAAAUUUGCAAAAAAAAAUAUUUUAUAAUAUUUUAUUUAAUAAAUUUGAUUAUUCAUUAAUGAUAAUAUUAUUUUUAUUUUUUUAUAAUUUAAAAAUCUUAGGUUCAACUUUUAGUGCAUACACUAAAUUAGAUGUUGGGUUAAAUAAUAGAAUAAUAUAAUUAAUGAUUAAACUUAAUUAAUAAUAAAAACAAAAUAAUUGAGAAAUUAGUUCUUGCCAUUUCCUAGGCUUCCCAUCCCAAGCAAAGCUUGCUUCAACUUCUACAGGAAAAAGAGCUGAUGUAAGCAAAUGGCGAUCGAGGAUAGGGAAGAAGAGACAACUAGCAUAAUUGAACGGCAAAGGGAAAGAAGAAACGACUGGUGAAGGCGAGGCGCGAUAGAUCUAAGUUGUUAGUCACGACGGUGACAACUUGCGGCGGUGAUGGCUGUGGUAGGCACGUCGUUGGCUAACAAGGGGGAAAGAGAGAGGAAGAGACAGAGGACUCCGAUAUGGAAAAAAAGAAGGAAGAGCGAGACCACGGCUUGCGACGAAGAUGGUCAUGGCAGGUGCGUUGCCGCCCAACAAGGAAGAGAGAGAAGACUCCGAUAUGGAAGAGAUAGACGACGUUGAGCGGCGAUGAUGGCCAUGGCAGGCGUGUUAUCGACCAAGAAGGAAGAGAGAAAGGGGAGAGAAGAGGUAGCAAGAAGACUCGUCAAUCUGGAAAAGAGAAUGGAGAGAAAAGAGGCAGGUGCGGGUUUUGCGCAUUUUGAUUUUUUGGCCGCGUUUUGGCUGAAAACAACCAAAAUGGUUUUUUGCUAUUUUGAAUUUUCUUUACAAAUUUUUUUUCUUGUUUUCGAAAAUGCAUUUUUGAAAAUAGAAAAGAGAACGCGUUUUCAGUAUUUUACAAAAUUGAAAACUCAAAACGAGUUGAAAACAACAAAGAGAACAUGUCUUAUUGGUUACAUACAAUUUAGCAAAUUAUUAAAGUUUGAUAUGAAGUGUAUGGAUCUAAAUAAAGAUAUAACAAAAGACAAAAAUAUAUGAAAAUUUAGAAUUCAUAUAGUCGAUCUCACAUAGUGAAAUAAAUGCUAGAUAUAUUGUUGUACUUCUUAUUGUAUUCCAAUCUCGCUACUUGGAGUAGCAAGCGAUAGUAUAACUCACAACAUCAUAAUUUUACAACCAAUCUACAAUUGGUCAAUCCAAAGCCACAACAUCAUAACUGGCUGGUUACUGCCAAUUGUGAGUUUCUCUGCCCGCCCUGCAUUAACAUUAAGCACAAAGGUUUCUGAGGACACAAACAUUGUAUUCACAAUCAACAACCAAGGAAAGAACACCAACAUCCAAAUAUGUCAGUAAAAGAACAUCCAGUAAAUUCAAAAUAGCAAUGUGAUAAAUUUAUAUUAUGUCUCUCCUUGCUACAUUAUGCUUUCAUACAUAUCAGCAGGUAGGAAAUUUCCUUGUUUUAGAACUAAUGUAUUACGUCUUCCCUAUAUUUAUAUUUUAUAUCUAAUUACUGGAAAUUAUCUGCUAAUUUGAGGCUGAAAUGAUUAUGUUUGCUCUAAUCUGAUUCAAAGGUAAAGCCCAUUAAUUCUGCAUCUUUCCCCACCUUUAAUGAAGUGCAAAUAAAAGUGGAACUAACAUGGAAAAGUUAAAUAUUUUGAAUGUGAAAAUGAGUUCAGUCGGGAACACUGCUCUUCUAUGUUUCUUUCUUAUGAUGUUUCUUUGUGGAGCCGAAAUACUGCUAAGUCUUUUAGUAUUUGGUCAGUCUUUUUAGAAUUUGAAAAUGAUUAGUGAAAUUAAUUUAUAAAAUAUCUAAAAUAGUUUCAAAAUAUUGCUAUUCAAAGUCUUUAUAUAUUUUAUUGAUGCCAAACGAUAAAAAUCCUAAAUGUUCUUUCAAUAUAAAAUCCUUUGUGGGAAAUCUUUCUUCUUGAAAAAUAACAUUAUAGCAUCAAAGAAAAAUUAUUUUGAAGCCCCUAGGGCACGGGUCAAGUAGUUGGCCUACGAUAAGUUGGA